AUACGUAGGGGGCAAGCGUUAUCCGGAAUUACUGGGCGUAAAGGGUGCGUAGGUGGUUUCUUAAGUCAGAAGUGAAAGGCUACGGCUCAACCGUAGUAAGCUUUUGAAACUAAGAGACUUGAGUGCAGGAGAGGAGAGUAGAAUUCCUAGUGUAGCGGUGAAAUGCGUAGAUAUUAGGAGGAAUACCAGUUGCGAAGGCGGCUCGCUGGACUGUAACUGACACUGAGGCACGAAAGCGUGGGGAGCAAACAGGAUUAGAUACCCUGGUAGUCCACGCCGUAAACGAUGAGUACUAGCUGUCGGGGGUUACCCCCCUCGGUGGCGCAGCUAACGCAUUAAGUGCUCCGCCUGGGAAGUACGCUCGCAAGAGUGAAACUCAAAUGAAUUGACGGGG
rnacentral:rRNA from 1 species